rnacentral:rRNA from 1 species
GGAAUAUUGCGCAAUGGGCGCAAGCCUGACGCAGCGACGCCGCGUGAGGGAUGACGGCCUUCGGGUUGUAAACCCCUUUCAGUAGGGAAGAAGCGAAAGUGACGGUACCUGCAGAUGAAGCGCCGGCUACCUACGUGCCAGCAGCCGCGGUAAUACGGAGGGCGCAAGCGUUAUCCGGAAUGAUUGGGCGUAAAGAGCUCGUAGGCGGUUUGUCGCGUCGGCCGUGAAAGUCCGGGGCUCAACUCCGGAUCUGCGGUGGGUACGGGCAGACUAGAGUGAUGUAGGGGAGACUGGAAUUCCUGGUGUAGCGGUGAAAUGCGCAGAUAUCAGGAGGAACACCGAUGGCGAAGGCAGGUCUCUGGGCAUUAACUGACGCUGAGGAGCGAAAGCAUGGGGAGCGA